AUUAAUAAGCGGAGGAAAAGAAACCAACCGGGAUUCCCCGAGUAAGGGCGACUGAAACGGGAUGAGCCCAGCGCAUAACCUCGCGGUCCCUGGCGGCCGUCGAGGGGUGUUGCGUUUCGGUGCAUCCGUCCCGCCCGAGGUGCUGACCGCCUAAGUCAUUGCUUGAAAGCAGCCCCAAGGAGGGUGAUAGGCCCGUGUGGCGGCGCCUGUAAGCCAGGUGUAGGCAUUUCGGGCGGAGGGGUGUUCACCGCAGAGUCGGGUUGCUUAGUACUGCAGCCCUAAGCAGGUGGUAAACUCCAUCUAAGGCUAAAUACGACCACGAGUCCGAUAGAAGACAAGUACCGUGAGGGAAAGCUGAAAAGGACUUUGAAGAGAGAGUUAACAAGGACGUGAAACCGUUAGAAGCCCAAACGGGUGGAACCGCGAUGGUCGAACGAGGGGAUUCAGCCCGGUGGCCUGUGGCACGGGAGGCGGUCCAGAGAGAUUACGAUGGAACGACCCGGCAUGAAUUGGGGUAGCCGUGGCACCGUCCCCGUGCGCGCGUGGUGCGCCGGGCUUAUUUCGCCCUCUAGUAGGCAUCGUCGCGACUCGUCGAGGGGACACCAAGGGCCGCGUCGGACUGGUAGGCCGCACCCUCGGGUGCGGGCGACGACCGGCUGCGGUUCCGACGUGCCCCCACGACGAGCACUGCCAGGAGGCCAGGCUGGGAACCCCUCACGGGUUCGGGGCCGGCACCUCUCGCGGCGCAGACUGGGAUCGGUAAUCCACCCGA
rnacentral:rRNA from 1 species